AAGUCGUAACAAGGUUUCCGUAGGUGAACCUGCGGAAGGAUCAUUAUCACAAAUGAUUUUAACUCUCUUAAUCCAGAGUUAACCUCUUCUUAAACCAAUCUAACAAAAUGUGAAAUCGUUUUAUAUAUAUAUAUUUAUAUUCUCGCAAGAGAAUAUAUAUAUAUGUAUAUAUUAUUAACCAAUUGAACCUUUUUCUAUAUUGUUAUUUUAAUUAAAUUUAGUACUGAACUAUAUAUAUUGUUAUUCAAUAGCAAUAUUAUAAUACAUUACGAAACAAUUUAAAUAAAACAACUCUUAGCAACGGAUAUCUUGGUUCUC
rnacentral:misc_RNA from 1 species